rnacentral:rRNA from 1 species
GCAAGUCGAGCGAUUUACUUCGGUAAAGAGCGGCGGACGGGUGAGUAACGCGUGGGUAACCUGCCCUAUACACACGGAUAACGUACCGAAAGGUACGCUAAUACGAGAUAACAUAUUUUUAUCGCAUGGUAAGAAUAUCAAAGCUCCGGCGGUAUAGGAUGGACCCGCGUCUGAUUAGCUAGUUGGUAAGGUAACGGCUUACCAAGGCGACGAUCAGUAGCCGACCUGAGAGGGUGAUCGGCCACAUUGGAACUGAGACACGGUCCAAACUCCUACGGGAGGCAGCAGUGGGGAAUAUUGCACAAUGGGCGAAAGCCUGAUGCAGCAACGCCGCGUGAGCGAUGAAGGCCUUCGGGUCGUAAAGCUCUGUCCUCAAGGAAGAUAAUGACGGUACUUGAGGAGGAAGCCCCGGCUAACUACGUGCCUGCAGCCGCGGUAAUACGUAGGGGGCUAGCGUUAUCCGGAAUUACUGGGCGUAAAGGGUGCGUAGGUGGUUUCUUAAGUCAGAGGUGAAAGGCUACGGCUCAACCGUAGUAAGCCUUUGAAACUGAGAAACUUGAGUGCAGGAGAGGAGAGUAGAAUUCCUAGUGUAGCGGUGAAAUGCGUAGAUAUUAGGAGGAAUACCAGUUGCGAAGGCGGCUCUCUGGACUGUAACUGACACUGAGGCACGAAAGCGUGGGGAGCAAACAGGAUUAGAUACCCUGGUAGUCCACGCCGUAAACGAUGAGUACUAGCUGUCGGAGGUUACCCCCUUCGGUGGCG